GACGAACGCUGGCGGCGUGCCUAAUACAUGCAAGUAGAACGCUGAAGAGAGGAGCUUGCUCUUCUUGGAUGAGUUGCGAACGGGUGAGUAACGCGUAGGUAACCUGCCUUGUAGCGGGGGAUAACUAUUGGAAACGAUAGCUAAUACCGCAUAACAAUGGAUGACCCAUGUCAUUUAUUUGAAAGGGGCAAAUGCUCCACUACAAGAUGGACCUGCGUUGUAUUAGCUAGUAGGUGAGGUAACGGCUCACCUAGGCGACGAUACAUAGCCGACCUGAGAGGGUGAUCGGCCACACUGGGACUGAGACACGGCCCAGACUCCUACGGGAGGCAGCAGUAGGGAAUCUUCGGCAAUGGGGGCAACCCUGACCGAGCAACGCCGCGUGAGGGAAGAAGGUUUUCGGAUCGUAAAGCUCUGUUGUAAGUCAAGAACGAGUGUGAGAGUGGAAAGUUCACACUGUGACGGUAGCUUACCAGAAAGGGACGGCUAACUACGUG
rnacentral:rRNA from 1 species